UACGGAAGGCAGCAGUGGGGAAUAUUGCACAAUGGGCGAAAGCCUGAUGCAGCUAUGCCGCGUGUAUGAAGAAGGCCUUAGGGUUGUAAAGUACUUUCAUCGGGGAGGAAAAACAAAACUAAUAAUUUUAUUUCUUGACGUUACCCGAAAAAGAAGCACCGGCUAACUCCGUGCCAGCAGCCGCGGUAAUACGGAGGGUGCUAGCGUUAAUCAGAAUUACUGGGCGUAAAGAGCACGUAGGUGGUUUUUUUAAGUCAGAUGUGAAUCCCUGGGCUUAACCUAGGAACUGCAUUUUGAAACUGAAAUACUAGAGUAUCGUAGAGGGAGGUAGAAUUCUAGGUGUGCGGUGAAAUGCGUAGAUAUCUGGAGGAAUACCUGUGGCGAAAGCGGCCUCCUAAACGAAUACUGACACUGAGGUGCGAAAAGCGUGGGGAGCAAACAGGGAUUAGAUACC
rnacentral:rRNA from 1 species